AUUGAACGCUGGCGGCAUGCCUUACACAUGCAAGUCGAACGGUAGCGGGCCCUUCGGGGUGCCGGCGAGUGGCGAACGGGUGAGUAAUGCAUCGGAACGUACCCGGGAGAGGGGGAUAACCGGCCGAAAGGCUGGCUAAUACCGCAUGAACUCGGAAGAGCAAAGCGGGGGACCUUCGGGCCUCGCGCUCUCGGAGCGGCCGAUGUCCGAUUAGGCUAGUUGGUGGGGUAAAGGCCCACCAAGGCGACGAUCGGUAGCGGGUCUGAGAGGACGAUCCGCCACACUGGGACUGAGACACGGCCCAGACUCCUACGGGAGGCAGCAGUGGGGAAUCUUGGACAAUGGGCGCAAGCCUGAUCCAGCAAUGCCGCGUGGGUGAAGAAGGCCUUCGGGUUGUAAAGCCCUUUCGGCGGGGAAGAAAUCGGUCAGGCGAAUAGUCUGGCCGGAUGACGGUACCCGCAGAAGAAGCACCGGCUAACUACGUG
rnacentral:rRNA from 1 species